rnacentral:rRNA from 1 species
AUUGAACGCUGGCGGCAGGCCUAACACAUGCAAGUCGAGCGAGCGGCGGCCGGGUGAGUAAUGUCUGGGAAACUGCCUGAUGGCGGGGGAUAACUACUGGAAACGGUAGCUAAUACCGCAUACCAUCAGAUGUGCCCAGAUGGGAUUAGCUAGUAGGUGGGGUAACGGAUCACCUAGGCAACGAUCCCUAGCUGGUCUGAGAGGAUGACCCGCCACACUGGAACUGAGACACGGUCCAGACUCCUACGGUAGGCAGCAGUGGGGAAUAUUGCACAAUGGGCGCAAGCCUGAUGCAGCCAUGCCGCGGGUGUGAAGAAGGCCUUCGGGUUGUAAAGCACUUUCAGCGGGGAGGCGUUACCCGCAGAAGAAGCACCGGCUAACUCCGUGCCAGCCGCCGCGGUAAUUC